UUAUGCAAGCUCACUAGGUGGUUCUUUUACCAAUGCUUCCUUUAGAGAUAUCAGGGAGGACGGGCUGUGGAAAAUAAUGAGUCUACUGGAGCAAGAUGGACAUUUCAUGGCAGCUUUCUUAAGAACAUAUAAGAACCUACUAUAUUGCCUGGCAUAUUUCUGCCCUCAAGGCAUUCUUAUGGACGUAAGCUUUAUCUUCCCAACAACAACCCUGUCAGCGGAAUUCUUCUAGAUUAAAUGUGGGCCUGCUGUGACUUCACCUCCAGCCCUGUUUGGGACUCCACCAUCAAAGCAUCUCUGAACAGCUUGCUUUCUGCAAUAGUUGAAGAACGAGUAGCGUGUGGAUGGCUGAGAGUCAUCCCAGGACACAGGUGUGCAUCCCCCCCAGCCAGCCGACAGAGAAGAUGAAUCAGCUUCCCUGAAAGACGUGCCCCAGAGCAGUCUGUCAGCUGAAACUUGUCUGAAGGAGCACGCUUCCCUCCUGACCACAGCUAAUGAAAAUGUGUGGCUUGCCCGGGGAAGAAUCUAUGCUAUUCUUUAAAGGAACAAUGCGAACCACAGAUGUGCAGCAUCUGGCAUAUGAUAGGGAUUUCCCUGAAUGAGAACGGUAACUGGACCAGCCAGCUUAUGAGAUGCCUUUGGGUCCAGGCAUGUAUUUUCCUCCUUUUGCCUCUGGAUUUGGGUUCUCAGAAGUUCAGGUGAAGCCCAAGUCACUAUCACUUAGUGUUUUUCAUUAUAUGCGCCCCCCUCCCCAUUUAUCUUCUAUGGUCUUGAUGAAUAUGCUUGAGAUGCCCCCAAACCUAUAACCCUGCCUCUAAGUCUUUGCUCAUGUCAUUCUCCAUUUCUGUACAGGCUCCCCUUUUUUAUGACCAUCUAAUUUGUCAGGACUCUUUCCAUGGAGGUUAAGUGAAGCCCAAUCCAACUUGCUUGAAGCAAAAAACUACAUUUAUUGAAUAACGUAACUUAAAAUCCAGGACCACUUGACUUCAAAGAUAGGUACACCUGGAUCUAGGCAUUCAAAUGAGUUUUCCAGGACCUGGCCUUAGUCUAUUUCUUCAGGUCUAGACUCUGUCUUUUACGUUGGCCCGAGUUUCAGGUAGGCACUGAAUGGGCUCCAGUCUUGCAUGUUACCAUGUUAACUCCCGAGUGGAAAAAGUGAUCCUGGGGAUAGGCCUGAUUGGACCACUUGGAACACAUUCAUGUUUGCCUAUGAAGUAAUCACUGUAAUUGGGGCGAUAGGUAGUACAUGGGGGGCAGGAAUCACAUUGUGUUUCCUUUCCUUGUUUGAAACCCUGUGAAAUCAAAUGGAAACGAGGCAGCUUUGAAUCAGGGGGAAAUAGUUACAGCAGUUAUUAGUUUGGAGCAGGGAAGAAACGGGCCUUAGUGACAAGGACUGGGGCCAGUUCUACCUGUAUGUAUGAGUGCUUCUCCAUCUCAGGCCCCCCAGUGGCUGCCUCCAGGUUCAGAUGGGAUGCCAAGAUUUGCUGUGAUUUGGGGCCAGCCAAACACUUGUUGAGUCUGUGUGAAUCAUUGAGCUUCUGCUGGUCAGUGCCGUAUGCCUUCUAUUUUUCUUAUACCACCCUAUGUAUCUAGUACUUUGGUGAGCACCUAGCAAUUACCCGACGGGUUUUAUUGUGAAAUUGUGAUGUAGGUGCCAGUGCUCAAGCCUGGAAAUCAAAAGGUGUGGGUUGUAAUCAAGUCUCUUGACUUUUGCCGAGCUAAGUAGCCAUACCAAGAGAGCACAGAGCAGGAUAACAGCUAUUUUUGUCUAGUGCUUCGGGUUCACAAUACUUACAUUGCUGGCUCACUUACAAUGACCCUGUGAGAUAAUCCAAAUGCUAUGGGGUAAGCUUCAAGGUUAAGUCUAAGGCAAAAACUGGGUGUAAUCAAAAUUUCCCUGGAAACUCCUAUAAAUCAUCCAUAAAGUACA